rnacentral:rRNA from 1 species
UACGUAGGGUGCGAGCGUUGCCCGGAUUUAUUGGGCGUAAAGGGCGCGCAGGCGGCUCGGCACGUCCGUUGUGAAAAUCGCCCGGCUCAACUGGGCGGGGUCAGCGGAUACGGUCGAGCUUGAGCAAGCUAGGGGGCAAUGGAAUUCCCGGUGUAGUGGUGGAAUGCGUAGAUAUCGGGAGGAACACCAGUGGCGAAGGCGGUUGCCUGGAGCUUUGCUGACGCUGAGGCGCGAAAGCUAGGGGAGCAAACAGGG